rnacentral:tRNA from 3 species
UGCCCCUUAGCCAAGUGGUCAAGGCACAGGAUUUUGAUUCCUGUAUCGUGGGUUCAAAUCCCACAGGGGUAG